rnacentral:rRNA from 1 species
GAUGAACGCUGGCGGCGUGCCUAAUACAUGCAAGUCGAACGAGGUGCUUUUGUAGCAAUACGAGAGUAUCCUAGUGGCGAACGGGUGAGUAACGCGUGGAUGACCUGCCCCAAAGUGUGGGAUAACAGUCCGAAAGGAUUGCUAAUACCUCAUGUGGUUUAUCGGUUUUAGAAAGCGAUAACUAAAGCAGCAAUGCGCUUUGGGAGGGAUCUGCGUCCCAUCAGCUAGUUGGUGAGGUAACGGCUCACCAAGGCGACGACGGGUAGGGGACCUGAGAGGGUGGCCCCCCACAAUGGAACUGAAACACGGUCCAUACACCUACGGGUGGCAGCAGUAGGGAAUAUUGCUCAAUGGGCGAAAGCCUGAAGCAGCAACGCCGCGUGUGCGAUGAAGGCCUUGGUCGUAAGUCACUUUCUAAGAGAUGAGAAGGAC